GUGAAUCAUCAAAUUUUUGAACGCAAAUUGCACUCCCUGGUAUUCCGGGGAGUAUGCCUGUUUGAGGGUCGUUAGAAUAAAAAAUUGAUGCGUCGCUCUUUUUUUUAAGGGUUAUCGCGUCGGACUUGAGCCGUCUUUCAAAUUUUAAUUCUUGUCAAACUUGCUUUAACUUCAUCCAUCCGGUCCCAUUGAAGCGUCUUCAAGCUC
rnacentral:misc_RNA from 1 species